UACAGAGGUCCCAAGCGUUGUUCGGAUUCAUUGGGCGUAAAGGGUGCGUAGGCGGCGCGGUAAGUCGGGUGUGAAAUCUCGGAGCUCAACUCCGAAACUGCAUUCGAUACUGCCGUGCUUGAGGACUGGAGAGGAGACUGGAAUUUACGGUGUAGCGGUGAAAUGCAUAGAUAUCGUAAGGAAGACCAGUGGCGAAGGCGGGUCUCUGGACAGUUCCUGACGCUGAGGCACGAAGGCCAGGGGAGCAAACGGG
rnacentral:rRNA from 1 species